CAGACAGUUUUGGUGACUAAAGCCUUCCUUUUACCCAGAGAACAGGUACAGCAUAGACAGCAGCAGAGUAAGCUUCCCAGCACACCAGCCCUGAGCUGGAGGGACCUCCUUAGGUUAAGAAAAUAAUUCAGUUUCAAGGUCCAUUCAGCUCUCAGGCAAAC
rnacentral:sRNA from 1 species